GACGAACCGUGCGAACGUUGUUCGGAAUCACUGGGCUUAAAGGCGCGUAGGCGGCCCGCUAAGUCGAACGUGAAAUCCCCGAGCUCAACUCGGGAACUGCGUCCGAUACUGGUGGGCUUGAACCGGCGAGAGGGAUGCGGAAUUCCAGGUGUAGCGGUGAAAUGCGUAGAUAUCUGGAGGAACACCGGUGGCGAAGGCGGCAUCCUGGACCGGCAUUGACGCUGAGGCGCGAAAGCUAGGGGAGCAAACGGG
rnacentral:rRNA from 1 species